rnacentral:rRNA from 1 species
UACAGAGGUCUCAAGCGUUGUUCGGAUUCAUUGGGCGUAAAGGGGGCGUAGGUGGCAUGGUAAGUCGGAUGUGAAAUCCCGGGGCUUAACCCCGGAACUGCAUUCGAUACUGCCAGGCUAGAGUACUGGAGAGGAGAUUGGAAUUUACGGUGUAGCAGUGAAAUGCGUAGAUAUCGUAAGGAAGACCAGCGGCGAAGGCGGACCUCUGGACAGUUACUGACACUGAGGCACGAAGGCCAGGGGAGCAAACGGG